CACUUCUCAUGCACGCAUGCGCUCACCAUCCCCAGAGUUCUGAUCACACGCACACACACACACACACACUCUCUCUCACCGCUAGUACUUAGGGAUGCCAUUCACCUAGCGUCAAUGUAAAGUAUACGUUCAGUCAACUCGUUUCUCUGCGUUACCAAGCCGUUCUAGUUAGUUUGUCUUCUCGUGAUCCUCGACCCUUGUUUCCGGUUUCGACUACGCUCUCUGCCUGACCCUGUUUGUGGUGUUCGUCCGAUCGCUUGACCUUUGCCUAUCUUAUGACUACGUUUCUUGAACUUCCUGAUACCACGCUCUACACCUGCCGCCCACUCCUGCUCCCGUGCCAAUUCGAGAUGUGUGUUUUGUACUGAGCUGAGUGUGUGGAGCUUCUAUCACUGAUACCAACAUCCACUUUACACAGCUCAGAUUCAACAACCUGCACAAAAGCUUAGGAAUGGAUUGACAUAUUAUUAACGAUGGAUUAAGUGUAUACAGCAUGAACUUCCAGUAAAAUGCCUAUCCAAGGCACACCCAAAACUAAAUGAAAACUGUUUUUGAACCAUUUGGAGUACAUGCAUGGUUUUUGUCUCUUUUGAAUGGGGACACUCUGAAGUUUUGUCUCCAUAAGUCAGAAUCACAGUAAGUAUUGGUACUGAGUAAUAGAGGUUUGAACACCCUGAAACAAAAGGGAGCUGAGAACUAUUAGUUGGAAAACACAAUGAACACAGCAUGAAGCCUUUCCUAGUCCAAGUUCAAAUUGGUUAACAAUACCAAAUAAAAUUAAUAUUUUACACAUGUUUUUAUAAGGGUAUGUCCAUGUGUUUUUCAAACCUUUUGGAGACUCCAAAGGGCCCAUGGAAACCAUGUACACAUAAGUAGGAUAAAAAGGCUGCUACUCUUUAUUUUUCUUAUAAUUAUUAUAUCACAUAUCCAGCAAUCUACAAAAUGUAUAUUUAUAUGUAUUUUCAUAUGUACAUUGAUAAUUGAAUCCUUUGUGAACUUUUAUGUGCUCAUGUGCCAUUGUUUACAGAGCUUGUUCUGCAGGGACUUUUAAGCUGAAGUGUUGAAACACACCCGUGAAGCAACAUAUCAUUCUUUUCAGCAGUUCACUGGCUACAUAAUCUAUAAGUUAUCGCCACAUCUGCCAUUACGCAGCUCACAGUUUUCACAUGAAUGAAUGAAUGAAUGAAUGCCUUUUAUUGUCACUAUACACAUGUACAAUGAGACAUAGGAAACAUAGGAAAGGGGUAAGGAGCUUGCUGAAGCACAGACUCUCACUGGAGUGUGAAGCCUGGAGACAGGAUAUAGAAUAGAAGCUCCUUUGGUUCAAAUGAGGUGUCAUUCGAUAGGUCUGAGCCCAGAGGCCAUUUUGAGCUCUGGCAUUUAGGUGUGUUCACUUACGCACUGCGUAGAGAAGGAGAACCAGGAGGUCUUCUGAGAUGAUUUGGAACGACGCAGCAGCAGUUCUUGUGGAUUUAUUGAUGUAAAAUGUGUUUUGGACUAAAUAUAUUUUUACAUAAUUGGAUUGUUUGGACCAUUGGCAGUGUAACAAAACUGUUAUGGUCAGGAUGUUAUUGUUCAGUAGACUGCUAUCUGGCUUCAAAGCCGUCUCUCUGGACUUACCAUACUCUCGAGUGAGAAUGCCUGGGCCCACCAACUGGAUCUUAAGUAUUUGAUCGAAAACUUCGCCCAGAGGAAAGCCCAGAAAUUGCCGCUAUGAUUCAUCUCUUUGCUGCUAUUGUGCCCUGCGAUGGACUGGCACCCUGUCCAGGGUGUACCCCGCCUUGUGUCCGAUGCUCCCUGGGAUACGCUCCAGGUUCCCCCGUGACCCUGAAGAAAGAGUAAGCGGUAGAAGAUGGAUUGAUGGAUGGAUCUCUUUGCUGCUGUAAAAUAUGUAUGAUAGACUAUGUCGUUGAAUAUUGACAUUCUGUCACCACGCUCUGCUUAGGGGGCCCGCCUUGACACUCCUGCAUUGGGGCCCGGUGUUGGCUCAUUACGCCAUUGCCUGCUGUAAAAUUUUCCAUUAAUCAAGUUUUAAUACAGACACAUCCAGAUAAAAGAGUGGAUCAUAGGUUUCAGCUGAGAGGUCACUGAGGCUGAUUAGUAGCAGGAGAGUGGGAUUUUCAUGGUGAGUGUUGAUGAGACUCAACUGCUCCACUCAGCUCAGCUGCACAUAAAUACUGCAUGGACACACAGCACUCUGGAUUGCAUCAUGACAUCAUGAUCAGGAAAGAGAACAGGGGGCAGUGAUACUGUUUGUAAGAGACCUGUGAUCAUCAUACUGGGAUUUUGUCAGAAACGAAGGCACUAUGAGACACAGUACAUCCUUUCUAUGUAAAAAUGUCUGCGUUACUUGGGUUUUUUUCCUUAUUUAUCAUGCAUUUCAUGAUGAAGUAGUAAAGUAUUUUAUUCCCUUCAUACCACAGCAGCUUGAAUUAUUGCAUUUUCUAUUUAGUAAAUGUCGCAUUAUACUUUUUUCAGUUUAUAGUUACAUUUAAUGAUAAAUUUGUACCUGUUAUUUCUUGUUGUAGUAUAAAUAGUCACUCCAUCACCAUCCUCAUCUUUAAAAAUAAAAAGGGUAGCACGUCACGUCACUGAAAAACUGGAAAGCAUAAAAUAAUCUGUCCUGACGACUUUGUUGUGAUCGCAAGAACUGUAAAAAUAAUGACAUAGCAGAAUGUGCACAUUAAUAAAAACCUAUGAUUUGCAGCUGGCGCUACUGUCACAGCUGCCAGUAUAGACAAUGAAAUAACUUCUAACCAAACAGAUUUGAGAGCAGCACUGUGGUAUAGUGUAGUACCAGAACCUACAGUAGGCAUCGUAGCAUAUUAGCUACACUGUAGUAGUAAUUGUAGGAUUAAUGUUCUGUACAUUUUCUUAAGCUAUUUGUGUGAAGGAGUACUUUGGGCAUUCAGGGUUUAUUUAUAUAAUUUUAUUCCCUGCCUUUACACCAUAAUAUUGCGAGUUUAUAUUUUAACAUUGUCUGCCCACUGUAUUCAGGAAGACAGACGUAUAUCAAAUUCAGGAACUGAACUUUUUGUACAUCCUUGUCAUCUGUUUGUGUCACUGUGUUUUCGGGCACAGUGAUACACAGCUGUGUCUUCUACAGUCAGGCCAGACAACUUGAAGUAUGAAAUGCCUUUACUGUUAUCUUUUGUUAUUUCAAUUCUUCCUUCAAGACUUUUACUGUAGAAUGUUUCUCCACUUGCAGUAUUGAUGUGCCCAAUCCACUGUAAGGGCUUUCCACGAGGCUGUCGUAUCCAGCUCAUGCCAUAAUCUCCAAAAUUAUAUCCUAUAGCCUUACAAGAGAGGCUGACAGUUCCACCAGGAUUACUCAGUACUGCAUGACUAGGAAUAGACUCCAAACUCUGGCCUUUCACUGCUAGUAGAGAGAGGUUAUGAACAAAAGACAAUUAAAAUAUCAGCAUUGAAACUGUACUUUUUUUUAAUCAACAGAACAACUCACAGUGGACACACAGGCUGAUUAGAGCACGAAUGAGGAGAGUGGGAGCUUCCUGGUGAGCGUUGAUUAGAAUCGACUGCUCCGCUCAGCUCGGCUGCACAUAAAUACUACAUCGACACACAUUUGCAUCGUGAUGACAUACUCAUGGAGAGAAGUGAACAAGUCAUUUUCUCAGGAAUAAAGGCAUUAUGAAAUACAGCAAAUGGAGAAAUGUUUAUAGAAACUGUUUCAUUACUUUA